CGUAUCUCCCUCCUGCUGAGAUGCAGGGUGAACAUACGUAUUUGCCACACAUCAGAUGACAGGAGGUGAGUGCCAGACCUCGGCAGAGGCAGCUGACCAUAGACUGGGGGUGAUGUGUGCUCCUGAAGUGACAAUAAUCUGCUUCUAAAUCUACACCAACACACAAACUACAUUUUGUCUCAAAAAUGUAGAUGAACAAAUACAGAUGUUUCCUGAAGAAAUGAAACACAGAAUAAAAUUAUCUUUAUAUUUAACCCAGGAAGCAAACUGCAUCCCAAGGCUGGCCUGUUUAUCCUGUGUGUUAGUUUUCUUCCUACUUGACUUACUAGCAACUCAAAUACUGUUGAUUGAUUGUUUACUUGUUUACUGUCUGUGCUCCCUCCCCACCCCCACGUGAACUACGAGAGCAAGGACUGUCGUCAUCGGCCGGUAUGUGCCCUGGUGGCCGGGGAGCACAGAACAGAUCCGCUGAACGAACUAAAGAACGUGACAGCGGAAGUGAGAGACACCGUAGUAUGGCUGUGUCUUUCUUUGACUCAGGCUCAGAGGGGACGUAAGAUGACUACAGAUCUGAACUGGGUGUUUUUUCUUGGUGAUCACAAUUCAAAAUAGCAACCGGCACUGGAGACUUGGAGGCUCCUCGGAGAGGGAGCAGCGUCCAUCACUGAGGUGCUGUGAACCAGCCUCUGUCUCAUAAACUCCUCUGAGGACCAGCUGUGCAUCCUACACAAAACACUGACAACCCAAUGUCCUACAAGUUAUCUCCAAAGGGUUGGUGAUAUACAAGAUACCUGCCCUGAAGGUGGAGGGAGCACCUGGCACCGAUGGGGACAGCAUGAAGAACUACUUCUCCCCUGCAUCUCUGACUGCUAAAAGUUGUGGACGGGUCCCCUUAAACUGACUUGCUUUGAAAUGAACAUUUAAUUACUUACUAACCACCCUCCACCCGGCCCCCCAAAACCCAAGACGAAGCAAAGCAACAGACAGUGGUCAAUUCAACAUCUACGCCAUUGCUAUCAGACCAGUGUCGUCUGCUUUAGGGGUAAGCAACGGAAACAGACGUAGCUUGUAGGGCUUGUUUCAAAGAGUCUGGACACGUGCUUAGAAAUACCUCCUAACAAUAAAGAUGAUCUUGAAGUGGCUCCGCAGGUCUGCGACAGGUGGGAGCAUUUAAGAUAAAGGGCCAAGGACCAGAAGGUGCAGGCAAGGAGUUCCCGGGGCCUUUAGGAACUCAGGCAAGUAUCCAGAAGUGAAGCUGUUUCCGUGGUCUAGGAAAUGAAGGAAUGGGAUAUAUUUGGAAUUUGGAAGGCAGUUUGAAAAGAAACAAUUGCUGGAUUUGGCAGAAGAUUAAGUAAAAGGCAAUACUAUGUGUUGGGCACAGGGCCUUGGCGUGCUUUCCGUAAUCACAUUUAAUCCUCCCAAUAACCUCGGAGAAAGACGUGUUUGUAUCUAUUUUACAAGACAGAAGACAGACGCUUAGAAAUCGGCCCUAUCCAUGGCCAACUGUUGAGUGGGAGUGCCAGCAUUCAAACCUGGGGCGAACGAACCACGGAUUAUUUUUGAUGUUGCUCCUGUGAAACUGUGGUCCACUGGUGACAAAGAAGCAUAAGGAAAGAUCACCAAAAAAAAAAAAAAAAAAAGAGGAACAACUUUAUCUUUUCUAAUUCAGUUGGUGAAAGAGAAAUUCAAUUUAUGAUGCAUGUAAAUAUCAGGUUUGGGGAGGGGCAAGUUUACUAGAUUAAAAAAAAAUCUGUGUAUAUACAGUUCAGUGCUGUCCAACAGCAAUAAAAAGCGAGACACAUCUGUGAUUUUGCGUUUUCUGGUAACCACGUUGAAAAAGGUAAAAAGAAGCAGGUGAAAUUAAUUUUCGUUUUUCUUAUUUAACUCAAUAUAUUAUCAUUUAUCAUUUAUUUAACUCAGGAUAUUAUCAUUUAUAUAACUCAAUAUAUUAUCAUAUCAUCACUCCAACAUGAAAUCGAUAUGAAAAAUUUUUGAGAUAUUUCCUGUUCUGGGGGUACUGAGUCUUUAAAAUCCAGUGUGUAUUUUACACUUGGAGGACAUUUCAGUUUGGACCAGCCACAUGUCGGUCAAGUGCUCAAAGCUGCAUGUGGCUAGUGGUUCCCAUACGAGACGGUACAGACACCAGGAGUCCUGAUUCAAUGCUGAGACGCCAGGAACGUGAUGCAGGUCUUGCGGGUGGAUAGCGAGGAACAAAAGGGGGCCUUUUGGGGG